rnacentral:rRNA from 1 species
AACGAACGCUGGCGGCAGGCUUAACACAUGCAAGUCGAGCGCAUCCUUCGGGGUGAGCGGCAGACGGGUGAGUAACACGUGGGGAUCUGCCCGAUGGUACGGAAUAACUCAGGGAAACUUGAGCUAAUACCGUAUGUGCCCGCAAGGGGAAAGAUUUAUCGCCAUCGGAUGAACCCGCGUCAGAUUAGCUAGUUGGUGUGGUAAAGGCGCACCAAGGCGACGAUCUGUAGCUGGUCUGAGAGGAUGAUCAGCCACACUGGGACUGAGACGCGGCCCAGACUCCUACGGGAGGCAGCAGUGGGGAAUAUUGGACAAUGGGCGCAAGCCUGAUCCAGCCAUGCCGCGUGAGUGAUGAAGGCCUUAGGGUUGUAAAGCUCUUUCGCCGACGAAGAUAAUGACGGUAGUCGGAGAAGAAGCCCCGGCUAACUUCGUGCCAGCAGCCGCCGUAACAC